GACGAACGCUGGCGGCGUGCUUAACACAUGCAAGUCGAACGGAAAGGCCCUGCUUUUGUGGGGUGCUCGAGUGGCGAACGGGUGAGUAACACGUGAGUAACCUGCCCUUGACUUUGGGAUAACUUCAGGAAACUGGGGCUAAUACCGGAUAGGAGCUCCUGCUGCAUGGUGGGGGUUGGAAAGUUUCGGCGGUUGGGGAUGGACUCGCGGCCUAUCAGCUUGUUGGUGGGGUAGUGGCUUACCAAGGCUUUGACGGGUAGCCGGCCUGAGAGGGUGACCGGCCACAUUGGGACUGAGAUACGGCCCAGACUCCUACGGGAGGCAGCAGUGGGGAAUAUUGCACAAUGGGCGGAAGCCUGAUGCAGCAACGCCGCGUGCGGGAUGACGGCCUUCGGGUUGUAAACCGCUUUCGCCUGUGACGAAGCGUGAGUGACGGUAAUGGGUAAAGAAGCUCCGGCUAACUACGUG
rnacentral:rRNA from 1 species